UACAGAGGGUGCAAGCGUUGCUCGGAAUCAUUGGGCGUAAAGGGUAGGUAGGUGGUCUCAUUUGUCUGGGGUGAAAGCCUCGAGCUUAACUCGAGGAGUGCCCCGGAAACGGUGAGACUGGAGUCUUGGAGAGGGUCGUGGAAUUCCCGGUGUAGCGGUGAAAUGCGUAGAGAUCGGGAGGAACACCAGAGGCGAAGGCGGCGACCUGGACCACAACUGACGCUGAGGCGCGAAAGCUAGGGGAGCAAACGGG
rnacentral:rRNA from 1 species